ACCAGACUCCUACGGGAGGCAGCAGUGGGGAAUAUUGCACAAUGGGGGAAACCCUGAUGCAGCGACGCCGCGUGAGUGAAGAAGUAUUUCGGUAUGUAAAGCUCUAUCAGCAGGAAAGAAAAUGACGGUACCUGACUAAGAAGCCCCGGCUAACUACGUGCCAGCAGCCGCGGUAAUACGUAGGGGGCAAGCGUUAUCCGGAUUUACUGGGUGUAAAGGGAGCGUAGACGGUGAAGCAAGUCUGAAGUGAAAGGCGGGGGCUCAGCCCCCGGACUGCCCUGGAACUGCAUGGCUGGAGUGCGGGAGGGGCAGGCGGAAUUCCUGGUGUAGCGGUGAAAUGCGUAGAUAUCAGGAGGAACACCGGGGGCGAAGGCGGCCUGCUGGACCGCGACUGACGUUGAGGCUCGAAAGCGUGGGGAGCGAACAGGAUUAGAUACCCGCGUAU
rnacentral:rRNA from 1 species